rnacentral:rRNA from 1 species
CCCUACGGGGUGCACCAGGCGCGAAACCUCUGCAAUAAGCGAAAGCUUGACAGGGUUACUCUGAGUGAUUUCCGCUAAGAAGAUCUUUUGGCACCUCUAAAAAUGGUGCAGAAUAAGGGGUGGGCAAGUCUGGUGUCAGCCGCCGCGGUAA